rnacentral:rRNA from 1 species
CCUACGGGUGGCUGCAGUGGGGAAUUUUGCGCAAUGGGGGAAACCCUGACGCAGCAACGCCGCGUGCGGGACGACGGCCUUCGGGUUGUAAACCGCUUUCAGCAGGGAAGAAAUUCGACGGUACCUGCAGAAGAAGCUCCGGCUAACUACGUGCCAGCAGCCGCGGUAAUACGUAGGGAGCGAGCGUUAUCCGGAUUCAUUGGGCGUAAAGAGCGCGUAGGCGGCCUCUCAAGCGGGAUCUCUAAUCCGAGGGCUCAACCCCCGGCCGGAUCCCGAACUGGGAGGCUCGAGUUCGGUAGAGGCAGGCGGAAUUCCCGGUGUAGCGGUGGAAUGCGCAGAUAUCGGGAAGAACACCGAUGGCGAAGGCAGCCUGCUGGGCCGCAACUGACGCUGAGGCGCGAAAGCUAGGGGAGCGAACAGGAUUAGAUACCCCAGUAGUC